CUUAUCUUGUGCCAGGUACUAUUAGGUGCUUUUAUAAAUGCUCAGGGAAGCCAUUCUUCAGAGGAAGGAGCUGAGCUCCUCACCUUUGGCAAUGAAGGAGAUGACUCAUCCAGAAAACCACAAGAUCCUCUCAUCUCAACAGACAGGGAGGGAAGCCUAAGUUAGAACAAAGGCAUCUGAAGAGAACUGAGACAGCUAAGAAGGACAAGGUGUCAAGCGCAC